rnacentral:tRNA from 1 species
GCAAGGGUGGUUCAGUGGGAGAAAUCCCACCUUCAACUUCGGAGACCUGAGUUCUAUUCCCAGCCAGUGCA